AACAAACCACCCAACAGUCCAGCUCCCAUGCCAAGCGCCAUGUUGCCUCCUCCCCUCUUAGGCUUCUGCGGCGGGUACCCAUAGCCUGACUGAGGCGGGUAACCGUACCCGGCCUGCGGCGGUGGUGCGUACCCAUAACCCGGCUGCUGAUGAGGCGGUGGUGGGUACCCACCAGGCGGCGGGUACGGGUAAGCUUGGGCAGGCGGAUACGGACCCGCAUGGGCCGCAGGCGGGUACCCGGAGCUUGACCCGGGAUGCCCAGAUGGGUAAGCCAUCACGGGCUCAUGGGUUUUCUUAUGGGCCUCAGGAACAGGAACUGUGAACUUGUCCCCAAAUUUGUACCCGAAAUUGAUGGAUCCUUUGGGCUUCCCACUGGAAGUUCGAACGCUGUAACCGACGUGCUUGAUCUGCUUCUUCUGAUCAUCACCGCCGCCCAAGCUGUCGAAGAGCUCCUUGAGGGGGAUUUGGACUUUGCCGAUCUUGGUGUCGCCCAAGCUGCGCUCGGAGACGAGCUUGAUGUUGAGAGUGAGGCGGUUGUGGAGCAAAGCGGCGUCGUCGAGAGUGAACUUGAUGGAGUAGUUGUUCCACUUAGGGUUUGUGCCGCCGUCUUUGGCGACGGGGGUCUUGGUCGUCUGCUUCUUGUUGCGGGGGUCGCCGGAGACCGAAACGGCGGCGUAGACGUCCAUCUUGGAGAACAUAUUGACAUCCUUGAGGUCGCUGGCUGAGACGAUUGUUAUCUCCAAAGGCCUGCACUCCAUGACGAUUGAAUUCUUGAGUUGGAAACUUGAAACUUGAAAUCAGAGAAAGUGUUUGAUAUUUCUUUUGAUUUGCGAACUCGAGAACUGUGAAUUGGGAGUUGGUAUGGAGAGCAAAACAAUAUAUAUAGAGGAGCAAAGGCAGGGCCAGGUUCUGUGAAGCUUCUAUGAAUUUAUAAUUUUUUAUUUAUUUCAUUUUAGUUUUGGAUAAGUGGUUACAAUUUAUUUCAGCUUUUUAACGCAAUAAAUAUUGUGAAAUUGUUCCUAGAAAGAAUCUUUCAUUACGCGUAUUGUUGAUUUAUUAUUUUGGUUUAUAAAUUUACGCGGAUGCGCGUGACAUGUGAGUUUUUUAUUUUUAUUUAUUUAUUUAAUAUGGGAGCGUGAUACACAAUAAAAGACAGGAAAUCCCAAUUGUAUAUGUAUUAUUUUGUUGUUACCUAAUUGAACUUAAAAUCCUAUUUUGUGGCUUGCCAUUUGGCUAAGAUUCACGGGAAAAUUACCCAUGUCAUUAAUUAGGUUUAGUCUUCAAAAGAUUGAUUAAGGAAGAGGAAGGAAGUCAAUUUGCUGAUUAAGAUGUUAAAUGGGGGAAUGGGGCCCGCCACAGUCUCACAUCGAAUAGAAGAGAAUAGAAAGGCUGAAACCACGUAAGUGGCGCGUAAGCCUGCCUUCCUUCAUAAUGCGAGUAGCAACAAACAAAGUGAUUGAAGGCCAGCCCCCCUCUGACGUCAUAUUGAUAUUGAUAUCGAUAUCGACUUUAAAAUUAGAUGUAUCAAUCAAAAUAAAAUUCUUAUUUUUCCUUUUUACACAAGAAUAGCUGCAUAAGAAAGAAAGGGUACGAACAUGGGUAUGGGUACAAGGGACGGACUCAUUAUCUUGACCUAACUUUACGAUCUAUAAUAAAUUCUUAAACUUUAAAUACUAAUUUUAUUCAUGUGAAACUUUAGAUGCUAAUUUGGAACCUAAUGAGCAACAAUGAAAAAGAAAAGAAAAGAGUAAACAAAAAUGAAUAAUAAUGAAAUACCUGUCUCCAGAUGGCCUUGUUGGUAUUGAGUUAUCAGUUAGAGCACCCCAGCAAAUCCCCAUAUUUAAUCUUUAUCUUUGUCUCUGUCUCUCCCUCCUGGAUUCUUUUAUUAUUAUUAUAUGAAUACAAAGAGGUAGAUGGUAAUGGUUUGCUGUAAAUAUUUAAAGCUCUGUGAGAGACGAUUUCAAUCUCAAUAUUUCUUCAAAAUCCCUUCCUUAUUAUGUUUGACAAAUUUGUUUCCUUGUUUCUGUUUAUCUGUUUAUUUUUACCGACUUAAAUUCUUCCUCCAUUGCACUCCACCAGCGCCGACUCUAAGCCUCUGGUUGAUUUGGUAAGUUUGUUUUAAUUAUCACCACCAACUCCCUAAUUAAAGAAGCCUUCUUCUAAUUAGGCUAUGCAUUCAUUUAACACAAAUCCAUAACCAUGGCUGCUUCUAGUUUUGGUUACGAUACAAGUACAACAACAGUUAAAUUAGGAGCUUCAAAUCUAACCCGUUGGAUUUAUUGGAUGGUGGGGAUUAAACAAAAGGGUCUGUUUUACAAGUCCCCACAUUGGAUAUUGAAAGGCUGGAAACACGUAAAUGGUACGUGUGAAGAAAAGGCAGCCGCUUUGCUUUGAUGUGAUCUUUUUAUGCUUACGGGAGAAGGAAUAGUUUGAUGUGAUCUUAUCCACCCAAAAUUUAAAAAAAUCGUAAUUAGGAUAAGUUCCAAUUCCACCGCUUUGUUGGUUGAAAUGCUCAUUCUUCUAUACACCUUUUCGAACUUUGCAACUUGGACGAUUAAGGAUUUGGAAUUUCAAUAACAAAAGAAUGGAAUUACGAAGUGUCUGGUGGAUGCUAGAAAAGUUUAAAUAUUGUAAUGAAGGCAUAAUGGUUAACAUUGUCUCAAUCAUCAACUCAUGUUCUUUCGCAUGUAAACUUUUCAUUUUUCUUUUAUAAAGUUUUUAUGCCAAUUUUUAACAAAAUUCACUGUUAUUUUACAAUGUAUCAUUAAAUGUAUUUUUUUAAAAUUUAAUUUAAUAUAAAUAACAAAUUUUAUUUUAACAAACAUGAGAAAGAAAACAAAGUAAAAUCUCACUGGUUAUUUUCCGAUAUUAUAAAAAGUGAGAAAUGAAUCUUCCAUUUUCAUAUUGGGAAGUUCAAAUUCAGAAUCUUUCUUUCAUUUUCAUCUUGGGAAGUUCAAAUUCAAAUUCAUUCCGUGAAUCAGACGGGGGCUUAGGCUUCUGCUUCUCCAGCGAGUACUGCUUCUCCAGCGAGUACCCGGAGCUUGACCUGGGCUUAGGCUUCUGCUUCUCCAGCGAGUACCCGGAGCUUGACCUGGGAUGCCCAAAUUUGUACCCGAAAUUGAUGGAUCCUUUGGGCUUCCCACUGGAAGUUUGAACGCUGUAACCGACGUACUUGAUCUGCUUCUUCUGAUAAUCACCGCCGCCCAAGCUGUCGAAGAGCUCCUUGAGGGGGAUUUGGACUGAGCCGAUUUUGGUGUCGCCCAAGCUUCUCUCGGAGACGAGCUCGAUGUUGAGGGUGAGGCGGUUGUCGAGCAAAGCGGCGUCGUCGAGAGUGAACUUGAUGGAGUAGUUGUUCCACUUAGGGUUUGUGCCGCCGUCUUUGGCGACGGGGGUCUUCUGCUUCUUGUUGCCGGGGUCGCCGGAGACCGAAACGGCGGCGUAGACGUCCAUCUUGGAGAACAUAUUGACAUCCUUGAGGUCGCUGGCUGAGACGAUUGUUAUCUCCAAAGGCCUGCGCGCCAUGACGAUUGAAUUCUUGAGUUGGAAACUUGAAACUUGAAAUCAGAGAAAGUGUUUGAUAUUUCUUUUGAUUUGCGAACUCGAGAACUGUGAAUUGGGAAUUGGUAUGGAGAGCAAAAC
rnacentral:lncRNA from 1 species